GAGGGUAUAGCUCAAAUGGUAGAGCGCUUGCUUAGCCUGCAUGAAGUCCUGGGUUCAAUCCGCAGUACCUCCU
rnacentral:tRNA from 1 species